rnacentral:lncRNA from 7 species
GGUAAUGGCAGCCACCCUCCAAGCAACUGUGGGGCAGGCCGCACCCUGCCUAUGAGCAUGGCUGAUUUCGGAGCCCCUGGUGGUACAGGCCUCCUCUGAGCUGGUGCUCAGCAGCCUGGGGCCAGGGACAGCAUGUUGUUCUGCUGUCCCAUGCUGUACCUGGGGAGUGUGGGGCAGCCAUGGUUCCAUGCUUCCUUGUGGUCUCAAGGUGGAGAUGCUGUCAUUCUUCCAUGGUCAGUUACUGCAAAAGAAGUGCAGGCGCUCCUGUGACAUGUUUUCACUGAAGGAAUAUGGAGACUCAAGUAUCAGUCACUCAGCACCUCUGUCCUGGCACAGAAACAUGCUGCAACUGAGGAGUCACACUUCUGUGGCCAGCACCCACCCCUCAUCCUGGAGACCCAAAGGAAAUUCAUUGUCCAUUCAGUGUCCCGUGCUUUGAAGGUAAGUAACAUCUGUCGCUUCAAAGAAGGCAAACUUGAUUUUCCACCGUUUCAUCCCUUGACUCACCGCUGCUACCUCUGAGAGGGACCGGAAGGCUGGGAGCAGCCUGCGACCCAAUCAGUGCUCCAUGCCACCAAACCAGCAGUGCUGCAUCUAUUCUCCCCUCCCUUUGAACAGAUGUGAGUAAAGCUGUCAGCAAAUUAAAAACACAAGCCGUGGGGCAAAAAGCGGUCCUGUCAUUACUUCAGCUGAGCAAAAUGGAGAUUUGAUAGCACGCACACAACAUCUCUCUUCCGCUCUCCCCGAUUUUGCUAUUUAAGGCAAAAGCCUGGUAAUUAGCAUCCUCCGGUGACAUGAAUCGAUCAGGUUUGCAUUCGCCUUGACAAUCAUGUGACAGAGAAUGGAAAACAGAGGGACGGGAUGAGUCCUCUCAGGUAAUUAACCUACGCUCCAAUGCUUCCCACACCAGCCUAUUUUCAAUUUCGGCACAGUACAGUUUAUACACUCUAACAUUAUUGCUCAGAAGAUAGAGUGAUGAUUCAGGUUUGCUAAAAAUGGCUUCACCAUACUGCAAUCAUGCUCGUGAAGCUUCGUCUUGAAUCCUGUAGUUAUAAGCUUCUUCUCACUGAGAAAUAAAUACGUGUGGUGUUUUAUCCGAAAAGUUACUCACCAGAUACCUGAAACACUUGUAUACCAUCUUUAAGAAAACAUGGCUUGUUUGGUCAAUUUGUCUGCCAAUUAAUUUUUCCCUGUUUUUUCUUUUCUUUUCUUUUUUAAAUAAAUGUGUAUAAU